rnacentral:rRNA from 1 species
CUACGGGCGGCUGCAGUGGGGAAUCUUAGACAAUGGGCGCAAGCCUGAUCUAGCCAUGCCGCGUGAGUGAUGAAGGCCUUAGGGUCGUAAAGCUCUUUCGCUGGGGAAGAUAAUGACGGUACCCAGUAAAGAAACCCCGGCUAACUCCGUGCCAGCAGCCGCGGUAAUACGGAGGGGGUUAGCGUUGUUCGGGAAUUACUGGGCGUAAAGCGCGCGUAGGCGGACUGUUAAGUCGGGGGUGAAAUCCCGGGGCUCGACCCCGGAACGGCCUUCGAUACUGGCAGUCUGGAGUUCGAGAGAGGUGAGUGGAAUUCCGAGUGUAGAGGUGAAAUUCGUAGAUAUUCGGAGGAACACCAGUGGCGAAGGCGGCUCACUGGCUCGAUACUGACGCUGAGGUGCGAAAGUGUGGGGAGCAAACAGGAUUAGAUACCCGUGUAGUC